AUUGAACGCUGGCGGCAUGCCUUACACAUGCAAGUCGAACGGCAGCAUGGAAGAGCUUGCUCUUCUGAUGGCGAGUGGCGAACGGGUGAGUAAAGCAUCGGAACGUACCGUGUAGUGGGGGAUAACGUAGCGAAAGUUACGCUAAUACCGCAUACGCACUGAGGUGGAAAGCAGGGGAUCGCAAGACCUUGCGCUAUACGAGCGGCCGAUGUCAGAUUAGCUAGUUGGUAGGGUAAAGGCCUACCAAGGCGACGAUCUGUAGCUGGUCUGAGAGGACGACCAGCCACACUGGAACUGAGACACGGUCCAGACUCCUACGGGAGGCAGCAGUGGGGAAUUUUGGACAAUGGGCGCAAGCCUGAUCCAGCCAUUCCGCGUGCAGGAUGAAGGCCCUCGGGUUGUAAACUGCUUUUGUACGGAACGAAAAGGUUUCCAUUAAUACUGGGAGCUCAUGACGGUACCGUAAGAAUAAGCACCGGCUAGCUACG
rnacentral:rRNA from 1 species